rnacentral:ncRNA from 1 species
CUUCACAGGUUAACCCGUGGCCUGAGUGAGGAAGGCAAUGUCCUUGCUAGUCACUAUUUGUGGCGACAUCUCCAAAUUGCGUGAAACCCGUCAUACAGCUUCAAGUACCACUUCAAUUGAGAAAUCUUUUGAAGGAACAGAGGUAACUCCUCUUCCCAAAGGUAAAAAGCUUGAAGACACGGUGGCAAUGCGCAGCCAAGCUCCUAAGUAUUUUAAAUAUAAGGAGAAGGUUCAGAGAGCAGACGGAGAUGGGCGGUAAUUUAAUCGCCGCUUAAGGUGUGCUCCAGCCUCUUUCGAAAGAUUGAG